rnacentral:rRNA from 1 species
AAACCGUCCAGCGAAAGCUGUUUCUGGUGAAUCUGAAUAACUUUGCUGAUCGCACGGCCUACGCGCCGGCGACGUAUCUUUCGAGUGUCUGCUCUAUCACGUUUAGUCGUUAGUCUAUUGGACUAAGGCGCGUGUGACGGGUAACGGAGAAUCAGGGUUCGAUACCGGAGAAGGAGCCUGAGAAAUGGCUACUACAUCCAAGGAAGGCAGCAGGCGCGCAAAUUACCCAAUUUUGGUGCAAAAGGAGGUAGUAACGAGGAAUAACAAAACGGUUCUCUAUGAGGUCCGUUAUUGGAAUGAAAACAACACAAAUCCUUUAAUGAGGAUCUAUUGGAGGGCAAGUCUGGUGCCAGCAGCCGCGGUAAUUCCAGCUCCAAUAGCGUAUAUUUAAGUUGUUGCGGUUAAAAAGCUCGUAGUUGGAUCUGCGGUCUUGGAGGCCGGUCCCCCACUGGGUGCGCACUGGUCGUCCAGGCCUAUUGGGCAGGCUUUCUCUUGUUGCUCUUAACUGAGUGGCUCGAGCGGCUUGCGAGUUUACUUUGAAAAAAUUAGAGUGCUCAAAGCAGGCGGAUGCCUGAAUAGUGGUGCAUGGAAUAAUGGAAUAGGAUCUCGGUCCUAUUUUGUUGGGCUUUCAGAGCCGAGAUAAUGAUUAAUAGAAAUUGACGGGGGCAUUUGUAUUGCUGCGUUAGAGGUGAAAUUCUUGGAUCGCAGCAAGACA